CAGAGUUCAUGCCCUUCGGGGUAGAUCUCCCACCCUUGUGUAUCAUUAUAGAAUGUUGCUUUGGCGGGCCGCGUGCCUAGCACGCCUUGCGUGCCCGCCAGAGGACACCUAAACUCUGAAUGUUAGUGUCGUCUGAGUACUAUUAAAUAGUUA
rnacentral:misc_RNA from 1 species